AAAAUAAUGAAACUGUAUGGUGCAGAAAGUGUUUUUUUCAUUGCAGUUUCUGCUGCUGGGAAAGCGGUAGAUCACUAUGGCUUCUGUACCGUGAAAUGAAGCUUAUGAUAAAAUACUGCUGCUUGCUGGUCACUGAUUGAAGAUCGUUCAGUGGCUACCAUUGGCCAAUCUCACCAACGGGAUAUAACAAGAACUGAUGCAGGUUUAUAUCUAUAUGUAUUGUCUAUUCGGAACAAAGUUAGUACGCUUUUUAAACCGAUGUUGGAUUUUUCUCCAGAUACAGGCAACCCACUUAACUUUGGAAGUAGUGCGCUGGAUUCGUCUAAAGAUAUGCUAAACAACCGGAGGAAAAUAAAAUAAUUUGUAAAACAAUUAAUUCUAUUGUAUUUUUAUUGUAAUAUUGGAGUAUAAUGUAUUCUAAAUCCUGUUGUAUUUCUAUUGUAAAACAAUAGAAACAGUAAUUGAAAACAUUUAAAACACAAUGUUUUCUAUUGUUUUGUCGCUCGAAAUCAUCCCAUUGAAGAACCGUAAAAUCAAUUGUUUUGCUCCGAAUUUUGUAUGGAAAAUUUUCGAUUUUUUUAUUGUAAAGAUACAUAACAACCCCCCUUUUUAAUUGUAAAAGUUCCAUUUACCAUUCAUUUUAUCGUGGAAAACCAUUAUUUCUCAUGUGAUUUUAUUGUCAA